GACGAACGCUGGCGGCGUGCUUAACACAUGCAAGUCGAACGGAAAGGCCCUGCUUUUGUGGGGUGCUCGAGUGGCGAACGGGUGAGUAACACGUGAGUAACCUGCCCUUGACUUUGGGAUAACUUCAGGAAACUGGGGCUAAUACCGGAUAGGAGCUCCUGCUGCAUGGUGGGGGUUGGAAAGUUUCGGCGGUUGGGGAUGGACUCGCGGCUUAUCAGCUUGUUGGUGGGGUAGUGGCUUACCCAGGCUUUGACGGGUAGCCGGCCUGAGAGGGUGACCGGGCACAUUGGGACUGAGAGACGGCCCAGACUCGUACGGGAGGCAGAAGUGGGGAAUAUGGCACAAUGGGCGGAAGCCUGAUGCAGCAACGCCGCGUGCGUGAUGACGGCCUUCGGGUUGUAAACCGCUUUCGCCUGUGACGAAGCGGGAGUGACGGUAAUGGGUAAAGAAGCACCGGCUAACUACGUG
rnacentral:rRNA from 1 species